AUUGAACGCUGGCGGCAGGCCUAACACAUGCAAGUCGAACGGAUCGGCGGAGGGGUGAGGGAUGCCUAGGAAUCGGCCUGGUAGUGGGGGAGAACGUCCGGAAACGGGCGCUAAUACUGCAUCCUCUCAGAUUCGCCUAGGGCGUAUUAGCUAGUUGUUGGGGUAAGGGCCUACGAAGGCGACGACCCGUAUCUGGUCUGAGAGGAUGAUCAGUCACACUGUAACUGAGACACGGUCCAGACUCCUACGGGAGGCAGCAGUGGGGAAUAUGGGACAAUGGGCGAAAGCCUGAUCCAGCCAUGCCGCGUGUAUGAAGAAGGCCUUCGGGUUGUAAAGUACUUUCAGCGGGGAGGCGUUACCCGCAGAAGAAGCACCGGCUAACUCCGUGCCAGCAGCCGCGGUAAUAC
rnacentral:rRNA from 1 species